UACGGAGGGAGCUAGCGUUAUUCGGAAUUACUGGGCGUAAAGCGCACGUAGGCGGCUUUGUAAGUAAGAGGUGAAAGCCCAGAGCUCAACUCUGGAAUUGCCUUUUAGACUGCAUCGCUUGAAUCAUGGAGAGGUCAGUGGAAUUCCGAGUGUGGAGGUGAAAUUCGUAGAUAUUCGGAAGAACACCAGUGGCGAAGGCGGCUGACUGGACAUGUAUUGACGCUGAGGUGCGAAAGCGUGGGGAGCAAACAGG
rnacentral:rRNA from 1 species